rnacentral:rRNA from 1 species
AACGAACGCUGGCGGCAGGCCUAACACAUGCAAGUCGAACGAGAAGCCACCUUCGGGUGGUGGACAGUGGCAGACGGGUGAGUAACGCGUGGGAACGUGCCUUUCGGUUCGGGAUAACCCAGGGAAACUUGGGCUAAUACCGGAUACGCCCUCCGGGGGAAAGAUUCAUCGCCGAAAGAUCGGCCCGCGUCGGAUUAGCUAGUUGGUGAGGUAAUGGCUCACCAAGGCGACGAUCCGUAGCUGGUCUGAGAGGAUGACCAGCCACACUGGGACUGAGACACGGCCCAGACUCCUACGGGAGGCAGCAGUGGGGAAUAUUGGACAAUGGGCGGAAGCCUGAUCCAGCCAUGCCGCGUGGGUGAAGAAGGCCUUAGGGUUGUAAACCCCUUUCAGCGGGGAAGAUAAUGACGGUACCCGCAGAAGAAGUCCCGGCUAACUCCGUGCCAGCAGCCGCGGUAAUACGGAGGGGACUAGCGUUGUUCGGAAUUACUGGGCGUAAAGCGCACGUAGGCGGAUUUGUAAGUCAGGGGUGAAAGCCCGGGGCUCAACCCCGGAACUGCCUUUGAUACUGCAGAUCUCGAGUCCGGAAGAGGUGAGUGGAAUUCCUAGUGUAGAGGUGAAAUUCGUAGAUAUUAGGAAGAACACCAGUGGCGAAGGCGGCUCACUGGUCCGGUACUGACGCUGAGGUGCGAAAGCGAGGGGAGCAAACAGGAUUAGAUACCCUGGUAGUCCACGCCGUAAACUAUGGGUGCUAGCCGUCGGGGAGCAUGCUCUUCGGUNGCGCAGCAAACGCAUUAAGCACCCCGCCUGGGGAGUACGGUCGCAAGAUUA